UUGCCUUAAACUAAUGAGUAAGGAAAACAAAGCGGACGGUAAGAGCCGGCCGCAGCGCUUGUCAAACAUUUUUGUGGCGCAAGAAUUUAUGGAGGGGUUAUAGGCUGGCCAAGUGUUGACCUAUGCCCA
rnacentral:snRNA from 1 species